rnacentral:rRNA from 1 species
GAUGAACGCUAGCGGGAGGCCUAGCACAUGCAAGCCGAGCGGUAGAGUUUCUUCGGAAACUUGAGAGCGGCGCACGGGUGCGUAACACGUGUGCAACCUACCUUUAUCUGGGGGAUAGCCUUUCGAAAGGAAGAUUAAUACCCCAUAAUAUAAUGAUUGGCAUCAAUUAUUAUUGAAAACUCCGGUGGAUAGAGAUGGGCACGCGCAAGAUUAGAUAGUUGGUGAGGUAACGGCUCACCAAGUCAAUGAUCUUUAGGGGUCCUGAGAGGGAGAUCCCCCACACUGGUACUGAGACACGGACCAGACUCCUACGGGAGGCAGCAGUGAGGAAUAUUGGACAAUGGGUGAGAGCCUGAUCCAGCCAUCCCGCGUGAAGGAUGACGGUCCUAUGGAUUGUAAACUUCUUUUGUACAGGGAUAAACCUACCCUCGUGAGGGUAGCUGAAGGUACUGUACGAAUAAGCACCGGCUAACUCCGUG